rnacentral:rRNA from 1 species
CCUACGGGGUGCAGCAGUGGGGAAUAUUGGACAAUGGGCGAAAGCCUGAUCCGGCCAUGCCGCGUGUGUGAAGAAGGCCUUCGGGUUGUAAAGCACUUUCAGUGGGGAAGAAAGCCUUGGGGCUAAUACCCUCGAGGAAGGACAUCACCCACAGAAGAAGCACCGGCUAACUCCGUGCCAGCAGCCGCGGUAAUACGGAGGGUGCGAGCGUUAAUCGGAAUUACUGGGCGUAAAGCGCGCGUAGGCGGUCUGAUAAGCCGGUUGUGAAAGCCCCGGGCUCAACCUGGGAACGGCAUCCGGAACUGUCAGGCUAGAGUGCAGGAGAGGAAGGUAGAAUUCCCGGUGUAGCGGUGAAAUGCGUAGAGAUCGGGAGGAAUACCAGUGGCGAAGGCGGCCUUCUGGACUGACACUGACGCUGAGGUGCGAAAGCGUGGGUAGCAAACAGGAUUAGAUACCCGAGUAGUC